AGCGAACGCUGGCGGCAGGCCUAACACAUGCCAGUCGAACGGAUCCUUCGGGAUUAGUGGCGGACGGGUGAGUAACACGUGGGAACGUGCCCUUUGGUUCGGAACAACUCAGGGAGACUUGAGCUAAUACCGGAUGUGCCCUUCGGGGGAAAGAUUUAUCGCCAUUGGAGCGGCCCGCGUCUGAUUAGCUAGUUGGUGAGGUAACGGCCCACCAAGGCGACGAUCAGUAGCUGGUCUGAGAGGAUGAUCAGCCACACUGGGACUGAGACACGGCCCAGACUCCUACGGGAGGCAGCAGUGGGGAAUCUUGCGCAAUGGGCGAAAGCCUGACGCAGCCAUGCCGCGUGAAUGAUGAAGGUCUUAGGAUUGUAAAAUUCUUUCAGCGGGGACGAUAAUGACGGUACCCGCAGAAGAAGCUCCGGCUAACUUCGUG
rnacentral:rRNA from 1 species